UAGUGGCGACGGGUGAGUAACACGUGGGCAAUCUGCCCUGCACUCUGGGACAAGCCCUGGAAACGGGGUCUAAUACCGGAUACUGACCCUCACAGGCAUCUGUGAGGUUCGAAAGCUCCGGCGGUGCAGGAUGAGCCCGCGGCCUAUCAGCUUGUUGGUGAGGUAAUGGCUCACCAAGGCGACGACGGGUAGCCGGCCUGAGAGGGCGACCGGCCACACUGGGACUGAGACACGGCCCAGACUCCUACGGGAGGCAGCAGUGGGGAAUAUUGCACAAUGGGCGAAAGCCUGAUGCAGCGACGCCGCGUGAGGGAUGACGGCCUUCGGGUUGUAAACCUCUUUCAGCAGGGAAGAAGCGAAAGUGACGGUACCUGCAGAAGAAGCGCCGGCUAACUACGUGCCAGCAGCCGCGGUAAUACGUAGGGCGCGAGCGUUGUCCGGAAUUAUUGGGCGUAAAGAGCUCGUAGGCGGCUUGUCACGUCGGUUGUGAAAGCCCGGGGCUUAACCCCGGGUCUGCAGUCGAUACGGGCAGGCUAGAGUUCGGUAGGGGAGAUCGGAAUUCCUGGUGUAGCGGUGAAAUGCGCAGAUAUCAGGAGGAACACCGGUGGCGAAGGCGGAUCUCUGGGCCGAUACUGACGCUGAGGAGCGAAAGCGUGGGGAGCGAACAGGAUUAGAUACCCUGGUAGUCCACGCCGUAAACGGUGGGCACUAGGUGUGGGCGACAUUCCACGUCGUCCGUGCCGCAGCUAACGCAUUAAGUGCCCCGCCUGGGGAGUACGGCCGCAAGGCUAAAACUCAAGGAAUUGACGGGGGCCCGCACAGCGCGGAGCAUGUGCUUAUUCGACGCAACGCGA
rnacentral:rRNA from 1 species